rnacentral:lncRNA from 1 species
UCUGAUUUCUUUUCCCUAUACAUUGAUUAAUGAGGUGUUGGUGGGGGAAUUGAGAAUUUUUUAAUUUUUGAAUCCGCAAGAAUCUCGUUGGUGCAUUUAAUGAUAAUGUAUGGAUAUGGGAUUUGGCCGCAUGCGUACGCUUUCAAAGCCAUUUUGAAAUUUGUUCCAGUUUUUCUUUUUUUCUUUUUUUAAUAUUCUUUAUUGUCACAUGGCAGCUUAGAUUAGAUGACAUUUAUUUUUUAUUCUCUUCAUUAUUUCCAUGGCAAACCGCAUGGCUAUAAGGUAGAGGCACAACCUUAUCUCCCUCCUUGUUGUUUUCAGUAGUGUAUGUUGCCCCCAGGGUUUCUAUUGGGCCUUAGGAUCCCUCAAACUUUUUUUAUUUAUUGUUUUUGUUUAUGAUAACUUUAUUUUUGUUUUCUACUAUUUCUUUCCCUUUUCUUUCAAAAAAAAAAGAAGCAAUUUCUAUUUAAUUUAAAUAAACUUUUG